rnacentral:rRNA from 1 species
UACGGGGGGGGCAAGCGUUGUUCGGAAUUACUGGGCGUAAAGGGUGCGUAGGCGGUCCGCUAAGUUGGAUGUGAAAACUCUGGGCUUAACCCAGAGCCUGCAUUCAAAACUGACGGGCUAGAGUUCUGGAGGGGGUAGCGGAAUUCCUGGUGUAGCGGUGAAAUGCGUAGAUAUCAGGAGGAACACCGGUGGCGAAGGCGGCUACCUGGACAGAAACUGACGCUGAGACGCGAAAGCGUGGGGAGCAAACAGG